CAGUGUACCCGCGGCAAGACGGAAAGACCCCGUGAACCUUUACUAUAGCUUGACACUGAACAUUGAGCCUUGAUGUGUAGGAUAGGUGGGAGGCUUUGAAGUGUGGACGCCAGUCUGCAUGGAGCCGGCCUUGAAAUACCACCCUUUAAUGUUUGAUGUUCUAACGUUGGCCCCUUACCGGGGUUGCGGACAGUGUCUGGUGGGUAGUUUGACUGGGGCGGUCUCCUCCUAAAGAGUAACGGAGGAGCACGAAGGUUGGCUAAUCCUGGUCGGACAUCAGGAGGUUAGUGCAAUGGCAUAAGCCA
rnacentral:rRNA from 1 species